UGCAGUCGAGCGGUAGCACAGAGAGCUUGCUCUCGGGUGACGAGCGGCGGACGGGUGAGUAAUGUCUGGGAAACUGCCUGAUGGAGGGGGAUAACUACUGGAAACGGUAGCUAAUACCGCAUAACGUCGCAAGACCAAAGUGGGGGACCUUCGGGCCUCAUGCCAUCAGAUGUGCCCAGAUGGGAUUAGCUAGUAGGUGGGGUAAUGGCUCACCUAGGCGACGAUCCCUAGCUGGUCUGAGAGGAUGACCAGCCACACUGGAACUGAGACACGGUCCAGACUCCUACGGGAGGCAGCAGUGGGGAAUAUUGCACAAUGGGCGCAAGCCUGAUGCAGCCAUGCCGCGUGUAUGAAGAAGGCCUUCGGGUUGUAAAGUACUUUCAGCGAGGAGGAAGGCAUUAAGGUUAAUAACCUUGGUGAUUGACGUUACUCGCAGAAGAAGCACCGGCUAACUCCGUGCCAGCAGCCGCGGUAAUACGGAGGGUGCAAGCGUUAAUCGGAAUUACUGGGCGUAAAGCGCACGCAGGCGGUCUGUCAAGUCGGAUGUGAAAUCCCCGGGCUCAACCUGGGAACUGCAUUCGAAACUGGCAGGCUAGAGUCUUGUAGAGGGGGGUAGAAUUCCAGGUGUAGCGGUGAAAUGCGUAGAGAUCUGGAGGAAUACCGGUGGCGAAGGCGGCCCCCUGGACAAAGACUGACGCUCAGGUGCGAAAGCGUGGGGAGCAAACAGGGAUUAGAUACCCUGGUAGUCCACGCCGUAAACGAUGUCGACUUGGAGGUUGUGCCCUUGAGGCGUGGCUUCCGGAGCUAACGCGUUAAGUCGACCGCCUGGGGAGUACGGCCGCAAGGUUAAAACUCAAAUGAAUUGACGGGGGCCCGCACAAGCGGUGGAGCAUGUGGUUUAAUUCGAUGCAACGCGAAGAACCUUACCUACUCUUGACAUCCAGAGAACUUAGCAGAGAUGCUUUGGUGCCUUCGGGAACUCUGAGACAGGUGCUGCAUGGCUGUCGUCAGCUCGUGUUGUGAAAUGUUGGGUUAAGUCCCGCAACGAGCGCAACCCUUAUCCUUUGUUGCCAGCGGUUCGGCCGGGAACUCAAAGGAGACUGCCAGUGAUAAACUGGAGGAAGGUGGGGAUGACGUCAAGUCAUCAUGGCCCUUACGAGUAGGGCUACACACGUGCUACAAUGGCAUAUACAAAGAGAAGCGACCUCGCGAGAGCAAGCGGACCUCAUAAAGUAUGUCGUAGUCCGGAUUGGAGUCUGCAACUCGACUCCAUGAAGUCGGAAUCGCUAGUAAUCGUAGAUCAGAAUGCUACGGUGAAUACGUUCCCGGGCCUUGUACACACCGCCCGUCACACCAUGGGAGUGGGUUGCAAAAGAAGUAGGUAGCUUAACCUUCGGGAGGGCGCUUACCACUUUGUGAUUCAUGA
rnacentral:rRNA from 1 species